rnacentral:rRNA from 1 species
UCCCAGAGCUUAACUCUGGAACUGCCAUCAAAACUUUUUAGCUAGAGUUGAUAGAGGAAAGCAGAAUUUCUAGUGUAGAGGUGAAAUUCGUAGAUAUUAGAAAGAAUACCAAUUGCGAAGGCAGCUUUCUGGAUCAUUACUGACACUGAGGAACGAAAGCAUGGGUAGCGAAGAGGAUUAGAUACCCUCGUAGUCCAUGCCGUAAACGAUGUGUGUUAGACGUUGGAAAUUUAUUUUCAGUGUCGCAGCGAAAGCAAUAAACACACCGCCUGGGGAGUACGACCGCAAGGUUAAAACUCAAAUGAAUUGACGGGGACCCGCACAAGUAGUGGAGCAUGUGGUUUAAUUCGAAGAUACGCGCAGAACCUUACCAACACUUGACAUGUUCGUCGCGACUUUAAGAGAUUAAAGUUUUCGGUUCGGCCGGACGAAACACAGGUGCUGCAUGGCUGUCGUCAGCUCGUGUCGUGAGAUGUUGGGUUAAGUCCCGCAACGAGCGCAACCCUCACUUUUAGUUGCCAUCAUUUAGUUGGGCACUCUGAAAGAACUGCCAGUGAUAAGCUGGAGGAAGGUGGGGAUGACGUCAAGUCCUCAUGGCCCUUACGUGUUGGGCUACACACGUGCUACAAUGGCAUUUACAACAGGACGCAAAACGGCGACGUUAAGCAAAUCCUAAAAAAAUGCCUCAGUUCGGAUUGUACUCUGCAACUCGAGUACAUGAAGCUGGAAUUACUAGUAAUCGCGGAUCAGCGCGCCGCGGUGAAUACGUUCCCGGGUCUUGUACACACCGCCCGUCACACCAUGGGAGUUGGUUCUACCUUAAGGCAAAGGUUAAAAACUUUGACCACGGUAUAGUCAGCGACUGGGGUGAAGUCGUAACAAGGUAACCGUA